AGACUGGCAUCAUCAUUGUUGACAACUGUAAACUUGCAGUGGUAAUGAAUUUUGGGACCAAAGCAGCCUCCAUGCCAUGUGCCGCAGCACAGCAGCUUCAAAUUGAAGAUGAAUCUGAAAAUUACAGCUCAUUGGAUCUAACAGGCCCUCUUCUUCUCGGUGGGCUUAUGCAGCUACCAGUUAAAUUCCCAGUCCUCUACAAACAUUUUACUGGCUGCAUCAGGAAUGCUUACAUCGAUCACAAGUUCUUGGACCUCAGUCACCCAUUGUACAACAACGGAACCAGUGCUUAAUGUAAAGCAAUGGGCAACACGUGCGCAUAUAAACCUUGCGAGCGAGGCUUUAACAUACUUGGUUCUCGCCGGUGUGACUGCCCCACUGGGUUUGAUGGAAGUCGCUGUGAAACAGGUGUGAAAUACACUGAGAGAUUCUCAGGACAGAGUUUUAAGAGGGUGUCAGCCAACUCAAAGGUCAAUCUUCCGUGGAGUGUUUCAAUGAGAUUCCGAACAGCCAAGCCUUCAGGAACUCUGCUUGAAACCUCUUUUUCGUCAUCAUCUUCGGUGUCGGAGUUGGUUGAUGGUAAACUGUAAUACAACUACAAAGGGCUGUUGGUUCUCCAAUUGCCUCACAUAGCGGUGAAUGAUACCCAGUGGCAUCACAUCGAGAUCCUCUGGACAGAUUCUUCCCUUAACAUAACAAUGGACUACAUCUGCAAAGUCUCUGCAAAUGCAUCCAGUGGAAAACACCUUGGAGUUGUCAGACAGUUUUUCAUGGGAGCGAGGAAGAAUUCUACCAAGUCUGCAGUGUAUGGUGGAUUUAGAGGCUGUAUACAAGGGGUUUUUGUCGGGAGCACUGAGAUCAACAUGAACUCUGGAGUCAAUCACAAAACAGCAUCCAUCUGGUUGUGAAGAGAAAAUGAGAAGCCACUGCUCAUCGAACCCUUGUCCAGACUACAGCACAUGCCAAGAGGAAUUCGACUCCUACAAAUGCAUAUGUCCCGUAGGUUACGGUGAUAAACAUUGCGUGCGCGUAUGUUCUCUUAAGCCGUGCCGACAUGGCAAAUGUGAAAGUUCAAACCAUGGAAAGGGAUUCCGAUGUGUUUGUCUUCAACAGUACACUGGGAAUUUUGUGAGGUCCGCAUGGAGAUACCCUGUCGAGAUAAGUACUUUGGUGCUUCAAGUAUAGGCGUCUGUGGUCCGUGUAAAUGUGAAGUGGGGAAUGAAUCUGAGUCCAGUUUGUAACAAGUCUACAGGAGAGUGCUACUGUAAUGUCCUUCUUCAGUCAGCCAGUACGCUGUUUAGCUCCGAUAACAACGAUGUGUGGGAAGUCGUUCAACAG